rnacentral:rRNA from 1 species
UACGUAGGGUGCAAGCGUUGUCCGGAAUUAUUGGGCGUAAAGAGCUCGUAGGCGGUCUGUCGCGUCUGCUGUGAAAACUCGGGGCUUAACCCCGGGCCUGCAUUCGAUACGGGCAGACUAGAGUUCGGUAGGGGAGUCUGGAAUUCCUGGUGUAGCGGUGAAAUGCGCAGAUAUCAGGAGGAACACCAAUGGCGAAGGCAGCUCGCUGGGACGGUACUGACGCUGAGGCGCGAAAGCGUGGGGAGCAAACAGG